CCUGUAUCCACUUUGAGCCACUUCCCCAUAAGUCAGACUCCCUCAUUCCUGUGUGUUGCAAUAGGCAUACCAGACCAAUCUGAGCAGUACAAGUAAAAGCUAUUGUCAUGCACUGGAUUCAACUCACAAGUGACCUUUUUUUUUUUUUCUUUUCUAAGCAUGAAUGAAUCAAAAGCAAAAAGAAAAGUGACAUCAGGUGGCUACUGUGAGAAUUGCAUAGUAUUGCAGAUAAAUAUUGCUCUUGGAAUUGUUGCUUGUUCAAGGGAAAUGGAGACU